AAGAUGCUAGUAAAAUUGUAAUUACACUGCUUUGUCAAGGCAGAAUAGUGGGUUAGAACCCCACGCAUCUUA
rnacentral:tRNA from 1 species